rnacentral:ribozyme from 13 species
AAAAAACAAACAUUUGAGAGAAGGAAAUGGGUGUAUCAAUUCUCCUUUUCUUCUCUUUCUUUCUUUUUCUUUUUCUUUCUUUUCUUUUCUG